UCGCUUUGGCAGCAUAUAUACUAAAAUUGGAACGAUACAGAGAUUAGCAAUGGCUCCUGCACAAGGAUGAUGCACAAAUUCAUGAAGCGUUCCAUAUUAAA
rnacentral:snRNA from 1 species